rnacentral:rRNA from 1 species
CCUACGGGUGGCAGCAGUGAGGAAUAUUGGUCAAUGGACGAGAGUCUGAACCAGCCAAGUAGCGUGAAGGAUGACUGCCCUCUGGGUUGUAAACUUCUUUUAUAUGGGAGUAAAUCGUUCCACGUGUGGGAUUUUGUAUGUAUCAUAUGAAUCAGGCACGGCUAAACCCGUGCCAGCAGCCGCGGUAAUACGGAGGUACCGAGGGUUAUGCGGGUGUAUUGGGUUUAGAGGGAGGGUUGGUGGAUUGUUAAGUCAGUUGGUUAAGUUUGCCGGUCAAUCGUUAAAUUGCAGUUGAAACUGGCAGUCUUGAGUACAGUAGAGGUGGGCGGAAUUCGUGGUGUAGCGGUGAAAUGCUUAGAUAUCACGAAGAACUCCGAUUGCGAAGGCAGUUCACUGGACUGCAACUGACACUGAGGCUCGAAAGUGUGGGUAUCAAACAGGAUUAGAUACCCUAGUAGUC